GGCGCCCUGCUGGAUUCGACGUGGGCUUUUUCUCGGCUGAAUCCUUGUUCGUGAAACCGGGAGUUGCCUCUGCCUGUGGUGAGCAGGCUCGGACAUUUACCGAGAAGCCUAAAGCAGGUA
rnacentral:sRNA from 1 species